rnacentral:rRNA from 1 species
UACGUAGGGGGCAAGCGUUGUCCGGAUUUAUUGGGCGUAAAGAGCGUGUAGGCGGCCUGGCAAGUCCGCUGUGAAAACUCGAGGCUUAACCUCGAGACGUCGGUGGAAACUGCCUGGCUAGAGUCCGGAAGAGGAGAGUGGAAUUCCUGGUGUAGCGGUGAAAUGCGCAGAUAUCAGGAAGAACACCAAUGGCGAAGGCAGCUCUCUGGGACGGUACUGACACUGAGACGCGAAAGCGUGGGGAGCGAACAGG